GAUUUUACUUCUAUUCCUUGCAACCAGAAGAAGCUUAACUGAGAGAGCCUUAGAAAUAAGAAGCAGAAUCAAGCACUCCCCCGUUCUUCCUUCAAGACUCAGCUCAGACACCCUUCCUACAAGUUCUCCAUGACUCCUUAAGACCAGCACCCAGCCUCAGUCAUGUCCAGCUCUUUGCAACUGCAUGGACUGUUGCCCGCCAGGUUCCUCUGUCCAUGGGAUUUCCCAGAUCUCAAUCGUUUUGAGGAGUGCUAGACAGGUGCCUGGUGGGCUGCCGUCUAUGCGGUCACACAGAGUCGGACACGACUGAAGCAACGCAGCAGCAGCAGCAGCAGCAGACAGGCGUUUUGUAGAUUUGGACUUGGUGAUUUUAACGAGAGUUUGGUCCCUUCACUCACCGCAUGAAUAAAAGCCUGUCCUGAAA
ensembl:lncRNA